GUUCGAUCCUGGCUCAGAUUGAACGCUGGCGGGAUCUUUACAUGCAAGUCGAACGGCAGCACGGACUUCGGUCUGGUGGCGAGUGGCGAACAGGUGAGUAAUGUAUCGGAACGUGCUAGUAGCGGGGAUAACUUCACGCAGCGGCGUAGCUAAUGCCGCAUGCGCCGUCGAAAGCAAGGGGACCUUCGGGCCUCCUUUUUUGUAGAGCGGCCGAUAUCGGAUUAGCUGGUUGGUGGGGUAACGGCUCGCAGGCGACGAUCCGUAUGCUGGUUUGAAGACGACCAGCCACGCAGGACUGAGACGCAGCCCCAGACUCCUGCGGGAGGCAGCGGUGGGAAUUUUGGACAAUGGAAACCCUGGUCCAGCCAUCCGCGUGUGCGAUGAAGGCCUUCGGGUUGUAAAGCACUUUUGGCAGGAAAGAAACGGCACGGGAUAAUACCCCAGCUGACGUACCUGCGAGAAUAAGCACCGGCUAACUACACGUGCCAGCAGCCGCGGUAAUACGUAGGGUGCAAGCGUUAAUCGGAAUUACUGGGCGUAAAGCGUGCGCAGGCGGUUCGGAAAAGAAAGAUGUGAAUCCCGGAAGCAGCUUUGGAACUGCAUUUUUAACUGCCGGAGAAGCUGAAAUUAUUGUCAGGAGGUGGAAUUCCGUGUAGCAGUGAAAUGCGUGAGUAUGCGGAGGAACACCGAUGGCGCAACCUCCCUGGGAUAACGCUCAUGCGUAAGAGGAGCAAGCAAGUUAGAUCGCCUGGUGAUCCGCCCUAGAAAAAGCGAUGUCAAUAGCUGUUGGGGCCUUCAAAGACCAUUAUUUUAUUAUCUGCGUGAUUCGUACCGCCACCAGAAGUGCUCAGGUCAAAGCCCCCCAAGUUGACCAGGACCUUCAAGCGGUGGAUGAUGUGGAUUAAUUCGAUGCAACGCGAAAACCUUACCUACCUUGACAUAUCUGGAAUCGAGGUGGGAAGAUAUAGCAAGAGAACCGGAACACAGGUGCUGCAUGGCUGUCGUCAGCUCGUGUCGUGAGAUGUUGGGUUAAGUCCCGCAACAGGCGCAACCCUUGUCAUUAGUUGCUACGAAGGGCACUCUAAUGAGACUGCCGGUGACAAACCGGAGAAGGUGGGGAUGACGUCAAGUCCUCAUGGCCCGCUAUGGGUAGGGCUUCACACGUCAUCUGUGGGUCGGGACGGAGAGGGUCGCCAACCCGCGAGGGGAGCCAAUCAGAAAACCCGAUCGUAGUCCGGAUCACAGUCUGCAAGCUCGACUGCGUGAAGUCGAAUCCGCUAGUAAUCGCGGAUCAGCAUGUCGCAGUGAAUACCCGUUCCCGGGUCUUGUACCGUCGUCACACCAUAGGAGUGGGUUUCUGAAAAUGAUUAGCCUAACCGUAAGGGAGGGCGGUCUCACAGUAAGUUCAUGACUGAGGUGAAGUCGUAACAAGGUAA
rnacentral:rRNA from 1 species